CAUCUCGAUGAUGAUGAUCUGAUCUCGUACAUUCUGGCCGGCCUCGACUUCGACUACAACUCGGUGGUGUCCUCGGUCGCUGCUCGUGUGGAACCCAUGACGGUAAGCGAUCUGUAUGCGCAACUGUUGAGUUUUGAAU
rfam:Oryza nivara chromosome 1, whole genome shotgun sequence.